rnacentral:ribozyme from 1 species
UUUGAUUGUUUUUGUCUUUUUUUUCUUUUUUCUUUUUUCUUUUUUUUUCUUUUU